rnacentral:rRNA from 1 species
GACUCUUAGCAAUGGAUAUUUAUUUCUCUUGUUAAUGAAGAACACAGAAAAAUGAAAAAUUUGGCGUGAAUUACAUAAUCAUGUUAAUCAUUGAGUUUUUGAAUGGAAUUUUUGUUUGAGUCCUCAACUAAGGGAGCAUAUAUCUGUGAAUCAAAUCCA